rnacentral:tRNA from 1 species
AGCUCAGUCGGUAGAGCAGAGGACUGAAAAUCCUCGUGUCGGCAGUUCGAUUCUGCCUCUGGCCACCA